rnacentral:misc_RNA from 1 species
CAGAGUUCAUGCCCUCACGGGUAGAUCUCCCACCCUUGAAUAUUUUAUACCUUUGUUGCUUUGGCGGGCCGCUUCGGCUACCGGCUUCGGCUGGUGAGUGCCCGCCAGAGGACCACAACUCUUGUUUUUAGUGAUGUCUGAGUACUAUAUAAUAGUUA